GCUUCAUAGCUCAGUUGGUAGAGCAUCGCACUGGUCAUGCAGAGGGCUUGGGUUCAAAUCCCUUGGGAACA